rnacentral:misc_RNA from 1 species
AAGUCGUAACAAGGUCUCCGUUGGUGAACCAGCGGAGGGAUCAUUACCGAGUUAUACUCCAAACCCACUGUGAACCUUACCAAUUACUGCUGUUGCCUCGGCGGACGGCGAGAGGGCCCCCUGACGGGGCGCCCGAUUGCCCCCGCCGGCAGCACCAAACUCUUGAAUUUAUAGCGAAUCUUACUUCUGAAUAACAAAAACAAACAAAUCAAAACUUUCAACAACGGAUCUCUUGGUUCUG